rfam:Dipodomys ordii contig_29196, whole genome shotgun sequence.
GGGAAUGUGGCUUAGUGGUAGAGCGCUUGCCUUGCAUGUAUGAAGUCCUGGGUCCAAUUCCUCAGUACCA